rnacentral:rRNA from 1 species
UACAGAGGGUGCGAGCGUUAAUCGGAAUUACUGGGCGUAAAGCGUGCGUAGUCGGUAUUGAGAGUCGCGGGUGAAAUCCCAGGGCUUAACCCUGGAACUGCCUGCGAGACCUCAGUACUAGAGUGUGAGAGGGGAUAGUGGAAUACCCAGUGUAGCGGUGAAAUGCGUAGAGAUUGGGUGGAACACCGGUGGCGAAGGCGGCUAUCUGGCUCACAACUGACGAUCAGGCACGAAAGCGUGGGGAGCAAACAGG